GUAAGGUGGCUGAGUUAGGCGGUGGUUUGUAAUUCCAUUUAUAGGGUGCGUGCCCUUCUUAUCA
rnacentral:tRNA from 1 species